rnacentral:rRNA from 1 species
AACGAACGCUGGCGGCAUGCCUAACACAUGCAAGUCGAACGAGACCUGCGGGUCUAGUGGCGCACGGGUGCGUAACGCGUGGGAACCUGCCCUUAGGUUCGGAAUAACUCCCCGAAAGGGGUGCUAAUACCGGAUAAUGUCUUCGGACCAAAGAUUUAGAGCGUUUGGAUGGGCCCGCGUUGGAUUAGCUAGUUGGUAGGGUAAAAGCCUACCAAGGCGACGAUCCAUAGCUGGUCUGAGAGGAUGAUCAGCCACACUGGGACUGAGACACGGCCCAGACUCCUACGGGAGGCAGCAGUGGGGAAUAUUGGACAGUGGGCGACAGCCUGAUCCAGCAAUGCCGCGUGAGUGAUGAAGGCCUUAGGGUUGUAAAGCUCUUUUACCCGGGAUGAUAAUGACAGUACCGGAAGAAUAAGCUCCGGCUAACUCCGUG